AGGCUUGUACGGGUGCAUUNGAUCCCUCGGUGGCAUCUCCUUUGGAGGUGUCGGCGGCGCUUUCGGUGUAUCUCGUCUAGCGAUGGGACGACGCAUGAGUGGUGAUUAGGAUAUGUUUUCCUAGCAGGCUCCAUGCAUCUGGCAUCGAACUGCUUGGGUCUAUCUAUUUCAUNAGUGGGUUUGCCUCGGCGUUUCCAUGGUCGGUCGCCACNACUUGUNGGGUUCCUGUGCUUGGUACUGAAUUUUGUAGCCGGAUGGAUUGNUCUUCCCCGUCNUGGUUUUUUUUAUCCCCCUCCGCUUCGCGNGNCGANGGUGGAUAUUGUGCGGGCAUCGAGGUUUUCCUUUCGAGCCGUUGUCCCCCNUUGGGUGCUNCCGGUUGNGANGGCANGUAGANGCUAACGGCACUNUNGGGUACGGAGANUUUGUGGUUAUCGCAUUGGCCUUCGGCCUUUGUGAUCGUAAUGUAUCGAAGCUUUCUUGCUUCUGAAUGUAUGACCCUCGUGCUCGUCUAAAGAGUUCACGGAGCGUCUCUGCUCGGUGUUCUUCUUGGGGAGNCAUCGAGGUCUACAAAGGAAUG
rnacentral:misc_RNA from 1 species